GACGAACCGUCCAAACGUUAUUCGGAAUUACUGGGCUUAAAGGGUGCGUAGGCGGCGCGGAAAGUUGGGUGUGAAAUCCCUCGGCUCAACCGAGGAACUGCGCCCAAUACUACCGUGCUUGAGGGAGAUAGAGGUGAGCGGAACUUAGGGUGGAGCGGUGAAAUGCGUUGAUAUCCUCAGGAACACCGGUGGCGAAAGCGGCUCACUGGAUCUCUUCUGACGCUGAGGCACGAAAGCUAGGGUAGCGAACGGG
rnacentral:rRNA from 1 species